ensembl:lncRNA
AGUUAACUUGGAAUGUUACAGAUUCUAUUCCCUGAGAACAGAAUUCCUCAGAUUAAAUCUCUGUGCUUUGACAGAGGGUGUGCUUUAAAUAAAAUUAAAUCCUGAGAAUAAGAAUAUAAAUAUAUAACUGGCCACGCAUUUAUAAAUCUUGAAAAGGUUAGUGUAGAGUCAGUGGCACAUGAAUGAGUGAAGUAACAGGAAACUUCAAGAGAGAGGAAGCACUUUUAGGGCAGAUGUUUAAAUUACUAUUUCUAUUCUUCUAAGGAUUUGAAUAUUUAUAUCUUAAGUCAUAAAAAUACACACACUUGAGGGGAAGAAAGAAGUUCAGUUUUUGAUAUUUUUAUGAUUGUAGUGGGCGAAUCUAUCAUCAGAGUGUUUUUCUGGUCUGUCAGGCAAGAAAGAGCAAACAUAUGUUAGCUUCAUCAUGGAAUUUUUCCCAUGGCACCAGAAGUCAAUGUAUAUGUACUUAUGUUGAUAUACAUUUAGGGGUUGCUUCAAGUAGUCAUUAACAGAAGCUUAUGUUAAUUUAAAACAUGUAAACCAGAAUUGAUUUAUAUUAAGUAUAGAACUUUCCAUAUCACCUCUGACUUUGAAAGGCUGGUACUUCUGGUGUCUUUGAUUUAUUUUUUUCAUGGAAUGUAUUCCUUCAAGUUCAUGAUCAUAGUCAGUGAAUUUCUAAGCACCUGAUUUUCUUUAACAUGAAUUUUUCUGUCUGCUGAGAUGACAUAAUAAAAUCUUGCUCACAUAAGCUAGAACUAUGAGAAAGAUGUGGAAUUUCAUAUUUAAAUUCAGUAAUGGCUUGCUGUUUCAUUUAAAUCAGUUUUAACAAAUUAAUGUAGCUUUCUUUAUUCUUAGAAGUGAUUGGAUAAUAUAUUAAUCAAAUUUUACUUAAUUCUUUCCCUGAAUUUAAGAACUUGGAAAGAUGGCUGCGUUCUGCACUGUGAAAUCAAAGUCCAGAGACCAUUUAAGGGACAAUAAUUGCAGAAAACAAAUAAAGAAGAGGAGCCUUAAAGAAUACAUAGAGAUUUUGAAACAAGAAGUGUGAAACAAAUCCUUGUCCUGCUCAGGCCCCCCAGCUGUGCAACAUGAUGUAAGUUAUUAAACCAUUUGUCUCUUUUUUUCUCUUUGCAGACAAUGAAAACAUACUGUUUUCUAUAUGUCUAAUAAUGCUUUGUUUUGAUUAAAUUCUUUAACAAUCCUGGUGAAAUUUUACUUUAAAAGUGAAGUUAAUUUAGUAAAUACAAGAGAUGUUAAAAGACAUAUAAGAUGUUUUGAAAAAAAUCAAUUGAAACCGUACUUCAUUGCUUUUUCAGCUAAAACUGUUAAUUAGACUUGUAAUACUUUGACAAAUUCUUCCAGCUGACCUAACCCUGAGGUAUGUGUGACUGCUUAUUGUUACUUUCUUUUCAUUCUUAGUUUGUGCUUUUACAAUAUGUUGAGCAUUUAGAAAGUAAAUGUUCUUGUUACCUGAGGUUCUGUAAUCUUGUUGUGUCGUUUAAAUAAUUUAAUCCUUUUGGAGUUGUCAAAUUUAUGUUUCAGUGUUUGUCCCAGUGGUCUGGAAGGAUGUAAUCACUAGUGGAUCCAGAAAAAGAAGUAAUCUCAUAGGAAAGAAAUCAACAAUUUUUGAUAAAAGUUUUAGAGAAUAUGGGGAGAUAUCAGAGUCCUUAGAAGAAAAG